rnacentral:rRNA from 1 species
UACGGGGGGGGCAAGCGUUGUUCGGAAUUACUGGGCGUAAAGGGCUCGUAGGCGGCCAACUAAGUCAGACGUGAAAUCCCUCGGCUUAACCGGGGAACUGCGUCUGAUACUGGAUGGCUAGAGGUUGGGAGAGGGAUGCGGAAUUCCAGGUGUAGCGGUGAAAUGCUUAGAUAUCGUCAAGAACACCGAUAGCGAAGGCAGCUUACUAGACUGUAACUGACGCUGAUGCACGAAAGUGUGGGGAUCAAACAGG